rnacentral:rRNA from 1 species
GGUUAAGCGACUAAGCGUACACGGUGGAUGCCUUGGCAGUCAGAGGCGAUGAAGGACGUGCUAAUCUGCGAUAAGCGUCGGUAAGGUGAUAUGAACCGUUAUAACCGGCGAUUUCCGAAUGGGGAAACCCAGUGUGUUUCGACACACUAUCAUUAACUGAAUCCAUAGGUUAAUGAGGCGAACCGGGGG